GUUCCUUGCUCACCGCGGAGCACGCACAGCAGGACCUUUCAGGAAGGGCGGGUGGCUGUGGUGCUUUCGGUGCCUCCCCACUUCACCACCUGCUGCUCGAGUGGCUAAGUCUCUGAAGCUUCGGAUUUUUCCACAGUUUCUGGCUUUCCUUGAAGGACCUACCAACACCUGCUACCUUUGCUCCGAAACCAGGAGGAAGGUGGUCCAGGUCAUCUCUGAUGCACCGGACACUGGGACAUCAGAUCAGCCUCACUCCCAGCACUGCAUCGGACCUUUGAGUGGCAUCUGAUGAAGCCUGCUCAGAGACGCCUAUGAGCCAUAGUUCAUCAGACAGCGGGGUGGGAUGAGGGCUGGAGAGGAAGGAGAGGUAGUGCUGUUUCUGAGAUCCGAGUCUCGAGUCAGGCCACCACUGAGGUAGAUCCUGUCACCAUAAGGACACACAAAAGCUUUGGAUUUGAGCAGAUAGUUCUGCCUGCUGGUCUCUCAGCUGGGAUGAAGGUCAAAACACUAGAUGGAAUCUUCAGUUGUGCUGUAAUAUUUUCAGUAAACUUGGAAUACGACAACGAAAA